rnacentral:rRNA from 1 species
AGAUUGAACGCUGGCGGCAUGCCUUACACAUGCAAGUCGAACGGCAGCACGGGAGCAAUCCUGGUGGCGAGUGGCGAACGGGUGAGUAAUAUAUCGGAACGUGCCCAGUCGUGGGGGAUAACGCAGCGAAAGCUGUGCUAAUACCGCAUACGAUCUCUGGAUGAAAGCGGGGGACUCGCAAGAGCCUCGCGCGAUUGGAGCGGCCGAUAUCAGAUUAGCUAGUUGGUAGGGGUAAAACGCCCACCAAGGCGACGAUCUGUAGCUGGUCUGAGAGGACGACCAGCCACACUGGGACUGAGA